GUAAAUACUCUGGCUUACAGCAAAAAUGGCAUUUUUGGGGGGAGCUAUAUCCACGGGAUGCAGAAGUUCCUGGGAACUACCCAAAAUAGCAUGUUUUAUGGUACCAAUUUCCAUGUUAAUACAUUUCUCAGACGAUUGUAGAGAUCCUGAACUUUUUCUCCCCUUUGAUGUAUCCGUUUUGCAGUUUACAGGCUUAUUGCAGUGUUACUCAACGUUUAGUCAUUUUUCUCAGGAAACGUAUUUAGAAAGGUCAUUCAUUUUUCUAGAGAAGGCUGAUAACUGGAACUUAAUAAUCCACCACACCCCCACAUCCCCAGCCUCCAAACCAAACAAACCAGUAUGUCGAUUCCAUUUAAUCCUGCUUUGAGGGCAGGGUUUUGUGAAAUAAUAUUUUCUGAACAUUUUAUCAAAAUUAUUCACAGACCUCAAACAGGAUACAACUAUAUUUAACUUUCAGCCAUUCCCACCUGAAAACAAGCCAUGGGCUUUUAGCAGAAAUGUAAUCUGACCACCACCAAAUACUUAAAUACGAAGCAAAAAACAAAACAAAACAAAACAAAACCAAAAAACCCAAAAAACAAAAACAAAAAAAUUGCAAGGUAACUGAAUUAAAAGGCAAUUGAUCUUACAAACUCUCUGAUUUUGGAAUUUCCUCUAUGCCCUUGAGGGAAAAGAAAAGCACAAUGUAUGGUUCCAGAAUUGUUUCUUUUGGUAAAAUUUCCCAGAUUGCUUAGAAAGAAAAAAACAAUACUAUUGUAUUAUAACAGAACAAUACUGAAGCCAAGUACCUUUUUUUGUAUUGGCUCCUUCCAUACUGCUGUCCCCACAAUGGCAGCGUGAGUCUCCUUGACCAGUAGGAACUUAACUUUGAUGGGGUGGAGACAGAGACAGGGGAGGUGAUUUGCCUGAAAUUACAGCAGGAAACCCUGGGUGAGACUCUGCCCUACAGCGAUCCAGAGGUCCAAGCCCUUGGUCUGAGGCCUGGCUGUGACUAGUCUUCACUAUGGACAGUCUCACACUUGCACGUGUGUGUUGGCGGGCAAACCAGUUGUAUCACUUGAUCUCUGUCCCAUGUGACAGGAACCACACUGACUAGAAAAGGGCAAUUCCAGGGGUAGGUCUAACUUCAGUCGUGACUUGAUGAAAGUCAAGUGAUGUCGCCAGGACCUAGUUUCUCUUUUAUCUUUUGGUUCUCCAGGCCCUGAUUUGCCCUGUUUUCAGACAAGCCUCUUCACUGUGGUAACAGCUGGGUUGCAAACUGUUAAUUCCAAACCUAACUUUCUACAACUUUGAAUCCAGUGAAAAAAAAACCAAAAUGUUUUUUUCUCAAGAGUCCCAGUCCAGGUUUUGCUGUGUCCUAUUGGCUCUGAUUAAGUGGACCAGUCAACAUGGCCACGUAUCUGGCCAGGCUGAGGUCACAUGCUCUACCACCACUGGGCCUAGGAUGGGACAGUUAGAAGCAGGACUCUUUAAAAGGAGCCUUAAGGGACCCCUCAGUUUCUUCAGUAGAAUGGCAGGCUUUGGUUUCACUGUCUCUCUUAGAUUUCACAUAGUGUGGGAGCGAUACUUUUCUCUGCAAAAAUCAGAGGAUGUGAGAAAAAAAGGAAUGGCUGCCGGGUGGGGGAAAAAAAAUUCACCACAGAGUUCCUGUUGUGGCUCAGAGGUUAAUGAACCUGACUAGCAUCCAUGAGGACGCACGUUUGAGCCCUGCCCUCGCUCAGUGGGUUAAGGAUCUGGCGUUGCCGUGAACUGUGGUGUAGGGUGCAGACACAGCUUGGAUCCCUUGUUGCUGUGGGUGUGGUGUAGCUCUGAUUCAACUCCUAACCUGGGAAUCUCCCUAUGCCCUGGGUGUGGCCCUAAAGAGAUAAAGGACAAAAAAAAAAAAAAAAAAAAAAAAAUCCACCACACGUAUGGUUUUUUUUUGUUUUUUUUUUUUCGGUUUUUGUAUUUUAUGGCCAUACCUGCAGCAUACGAAAGUUCCCUGGAAGUUCCCGGGCCAGGGAUUGAAUCUGAGCUAUAGCAAGGCCAAACUUUAACCCACUGGACCCAGCUAGGGAUUGAAACCUCAUCUCUGCAGAGACCCAAGCUGCUGCAGUAGGAUUCUUAACUCACUGCAUCACAGUGGGACAUCCACCAACCCUAUGUUUUAAUAGCCUGUUCAUGUUCAGAAUUGUCAAUGGUUAAGAGAAUCUUUGCUUUGCAUUUGGCUUCCAGAGCCAAAUUCCAGCUGUCCUAGCUAUGAGGGAGCGAAACUAGAAAAGCCUGAAGAGACUGUGCCCAGCUUAUAAAUACUAUGUUCAUCCUCAGCCAACCAUGUUUAUCAUCACCGAAUAAGCCAGUAGCUCAAGCGAUCCAGUAUCCCCUGGCAUAUGUGCAGGGUAGCAAAUUUCACCAUCUAGAACCAAGAUGCUUCUUCCAUGAUCUAGAGGAGAAAGAAGGGCAGGGUUUCCAGUCUUUAACUAUUAGUGUAAUUCAAUUGCUUCAUUGGACUACCCAAGGACAAUAGGAAAAUUAGCAUCAGCCACCAUCCAAACAGAAUUCAGGCCAUGUAUAUGUAUAUAUUAUUCUGGGAAUGUAAGAAGGUUAAUAGGAAUACAGUUUAACUUAGGAGCCCCAAGGUAUUAAUUACAUUCUUCAUGCUACAGGUGUUCAUAAUAUUCACAUUGCAAAACAUAGUAGCAGUGAAGUUAUGAUAUAUGAAAAUAUCUCCCUCCCUGAAAAGAGUUUAGGUUUAUUAGUCCAGACAGACUAAAGAAAAGGAAAAGUCCUAGUAAGGGACCUUUGUCUGCUUAUGCCACAAUUUUCCAAUCCUAAUUAUUAAGUCAUCGAACCUUCCAGAAAUGUUUCCAUGUUACACUUGGGUUAAUUGAAGUAAGAGGCAUUGUUGGGAAAUUCCUUAAGCCACUGACAAAAAGAAGCUUGCAAAGAACCCUAGUCUAAGAAGGCCCAGACCUCAAAAGGCAGUGCCAUGCUACUUAUGCUUUAAAAGUAUUCCUUUCCUGGAGUUCCUGUUGUGGCUCAGUGGGAUAAGAACCUGACUAGUAUCCAUGAGGAUGCAGGUUUGAUCCGUGGCCUCACUCAGUGGGUUAAGGAUCUGGCGUUGCCAUGAGCUGUGGUGAAGGUCUCAGAUGCUGCUUGGAUCUGGUGUGGCUGUGUUGUAGGCUGGCAACUGUGGCUCUGACUCAACCACUAGCCUGGGAACUUCCGUGUGCUGCAGGUUGGCCCUAAAAA
rnacentral:lncRNA from 1 species